rnacentral:rRNA from 1 species
GGUCAAGUGAAGAAGCGCAUACGGUGGAUGCCUUGGCAGUCAGAGGCGAUGAAAGACGUGGUAGCCUGCGAAAAGCUUCGGGGAGUCGGCAAACAGACUUUGAUCCGGAGAUCUCUGAAUGGGGGAACCCACCUAGGAUAACCUAGGUAUCUUGUACUGAAUCCAUAGGUGCAAGAGGCGAACCAGGGGAACUGAAACAUCUAAGUACCCUGAGGAAAAGAAAUCAACCGAGAUUCCCUUAGUAGUGGCGAGCGAACGGGGAUUAGCCCUUAAGCUUCAUUGAUUUUAGCGGAACGCUCUGGAAAGUGCGGCCAUAGUGGGUGAUAGCCCCGUACGCGAAAGGAUCUUUGAAGUGAAAUCGAGUAGGACGGAGCACGAGAAACUUUGUCUGAACAUGGGGGGACCAUCCUCCAAGGCUAAAUACUACUGACUGACCGAUAGUGAACCAGUACCGUGAGGGAAAGGCGAAAAGAACCCCGGAGAGGGGAGUGAAAUAGAACCUGAAACCGUAUGCGUACAAGCAGUGGGAGCCUACUUGUUAGGUGACUGCGUACCUUUUGUAUAAUGGGUCAGCGACUUAUAUUCAGUGGCAAGCUUAACCGUAUAGGGUAGGCGUAGCGAAAGCGAGUCUUAAUAGGGCGUUUAGUCGCUGGGUAUAGACCCGAAACCGGGCGAUCUAUCCAUGAGCAGGUUGAAGGUUAGGUAACACUGACUGGAGGACCGAACCCACUCCCGUUGAAAAGGUAGGGGAUGACUUGUGGAUCGGAGUGAAAGGCUAAUCAAGCUCGGAGAUAGCUGGUUCUCCUCGAAAGCUAUUUAGGUAGCGCCUCAUGUAUCACUCUGGGGGGUAGAGCACUGUUUCGGCUAGGGGGUCAUCCCGACUUACCAAACCGAUGCAAACUCCGAAUACCCAGAAGUGCCGAGCAUGGGAGACACACGGCGGGUGCUAACGUCCGUCGUGAAAAGGGAAACAACCAGACCGCCAGCUAAGGUCCCAAAGUUGUGGUUAAGUGGUAAACGAUGUGGGAAGGCUUAGACAGCUAGGAGGUUGGCUUAGAAGCAGCCAUCCUUUAAAGAAAGCGUAAUAGCUCACUAGUCGAGUCGGCCUGCGCGGAAGAUGUAACGGGGCUCAAACCACACACCGAAGCUGCGGGUGUCACGUAAGUGACGCGGUAGAGGAGCGUUCUGUAAGCCUGUGAAGGUGAGUUGAGAAGCUUGCUGGAGGUAUCAGAAGUGCGAAUGCUGACAUGAGUAACGACAAUGGGUGUGAAAAACACCCACGCCGAAAGACCAAGGGUUCCUGCGCAACGUUAAUCGACGCAGGGUUAGUCGGUUCCUAAGGCGAGGCUGAAAAGCGUAGUCGAUGGGAAACAGGUUAAUAUUCCUGUACUUCUGGUUACUGCGAUGGAGGGACGGAGAAGGCUAGGCCAGCUUGGCGUUGGUUGUCCAAGUUUAAGGUGGUAGGCUGAAAUCUUAAGGAAAUCCGGGGUUUCAAGGCCGAGAGCUGAUGACGAGUCGUCUUUUAGAUGACGAAGUGGUUGAUGCCAUGCUUCCAAGAAAAGCUUCUAAGCUUCAGGUAACCAGGAACCGUACCCCAAACCGACACAGGUGGUCGGGUAGAGAAUACCAAGGCGCUUGAGAGAACUCGGGUGAAGGAACUAGGCAAAAUGGCACCGUAACUUCGGGAGAAGGUGCGCCGGCUAGGGUGAAGGAUUUACUCCGUAAGCUCUGGCUGGUCGAAGAUACCAGGCCGCUGCGACUGUUUAUUAAAAACACAGCACUCUGCAAACACGAAAGUGGACGUAUAGGGUGUGACGCCUGCCCGGUGCCGGAAGGUUAAUUGAUGGGGUUAGCGCAAGCGAAGCUCUUGAUCGAAGCCCCGGUAAACGGCGGCCGUAACUAUAACGGUCCUAAGGUAGCGAAAUUCCUUGUCGGGUAAGUUCCGACCUGCACGAAUGGCGUAACGAUGGCGGCGCUGUCUCCACCCGAGACUCAGUGAAAUUGAAAUCGCUGUGAAGAUGCAGUGUAUCCGCGGCUAGACGGAAAGACCCCGUGAACCUUUACUGUAGCUUUGCACUGGACUUUGAGCCUGCUUGUGUAGGAUAGGUGGGAGGCUUUGAAGCGUGGACGCCAGUUCGCGUGGAGCCAUCCUUGAAAUACCACCCUGGCAUGCUUGAGGUUCUAACUCUGGUCCGUGAUCCGGAUCGAGGACAGUGUAUGGUGGGCAGUUUGACUGGGGCGGUCUCCUCCUAAAGAGUAACGGAGGAGUACGAAGGUGCGCUCAGACCGGUCGGAAAUCGGUCGUAGAGUAUAAAGGCAAAAGCGCGCUUGACUGCGAGACAGACACGUCGAGCAGGUACGAAAGUAGGUCUUAGUGAUCCGGUGGUUCUGUAUGGAAGGGCCAUCGCUCAACGGAUAAAAGGUACUCCGGGGAUAACAGGCUGAUACCGCCCAAGAGUUCAUAUCGACGGCGGUGUUUGGCACCUCGAUGUCGGCUCAUCACAUCCUGGGGCUGAAGCCGGUCCCAAGGGUAUGGCUGUUCGCCAUUUAAAGUGGUACGCGAGCUGGGUUUAGAACGUCGUGAGACAGUUCGGUCCCUAUCUGCCGUGGACGUUUGAGAUUUGAGAGGGGCUGCUCCUAGUACGAGAGGACCGGAGUGGACGAACCUCUGGUGUUCCGGUUGUCACGCCAGUGGCAUUGCCGGGUAGCUAUGUUCGGAAAAGAUAACCGCUGAAAGCAUCUAAGCGGGAAACUUGCCUCAAGAUGAGAUCUCACUGGGAACUUGAUUCCCCUGAAGGGCCGUCGAAGACUACGACGUUGAUAGGCUGGGUGUGUAAGCGUUGUGAGGCGUUGAGCUAACCAGUACUAAUUGCCCGUGAGGCUUGACCAU